AGCAGCCACGAGAGAUCGGAGGAGAGAGAAGCAUGGGUGAGAUGCGGCUAGCGUCUACGGAGACUUUUCCCACGGGACGGCGAGGAUAAAUCAUCCCACGUCGACGGCUGAGUAACAGAGCGUGACUGUGAGGUGGUGCGGCCCGGACUAGUUUGCACUGUUGCCUCGAAAUAUCCUUAGUUAGCGGCGUGCUAACUUGGCUAACCGGAGUUAGCCCUCAAGGCGGACUUAGCUAAGGAUCACCGGACCUGUACAGAGCGAGAGGCUACCAACUGCUGAGGCUGACCGAUAAGGUUUGCUGCUCGGAAGGAGUAAGUGUGCAGCUGCAUGGACUAGGGACGGACCUCUCGACUUGCUGUGAGUUUGUGGAAAGAGACUUAGAGUUCCAGCACUUUAUCAAACUGUUGUCUGCUACAGAGUUACAAGUAUUAUACUAAUAAUAUAGCAUCCACCAUCUCCUGCUUGCAUAUUUCUGUAAACAUCUUAGUGGUGUGGCAGCCACGAGUGAGCCCUGCAAACCCUGUGGAUGGACGAUGCAGUGGACAGUGGGAGGAAGCAUCCUAAAGCUCUCUUUGCAGACCACCCUGUGUGAUUCUCCACUUGCCCACCAGAAAAGACAAACCGCAGGUCUCAGUUGCAGCAGCUCAUCCACGUCUGAUCUUGCUCGGGCAGAUUCAGCAACACUGCUGAAAAAAAAAAAAAAAAAAAAAAAAAAAACACUGCCAGAGACUUCCUGUAAUCUAUUACAGUUGUUAAAGAAACGGUCCAGGAACAGGUCACUCAGGUUGAUCCUGUGUGAACAACUGAAAAUAUUGUUUUUUAUCUUUACAUACUGUGUAUUUGAAAUAUUCUUGUUUAAUUGUUAUUGUUAUUUACUUUAUUGCUAUCAAAUAAAUAUCCAAGUAAUAUUGUUCAAAGUUAGCGUUAUGUUCAUACGUGUUACAAAUGCCUGUAAAUCAAAUUGAGUUCAGUGACAAUUACUGUUUGUUUGAAUCAAUUUAUUAAUAACAUAAAACCUUUAAACUAAUGCAACACAUAUAACAAUGUAACAAAUAUAUUCAAAUAAAUAAAUUUCUCAAUACAUAACUCAUUUGGGAACUAAUCUUUCUAGAAGUGAAAACAGUCUGUCCAUC
ensembl:lncRNA